AGCCCCCGCACCGUUAACAGGACAACGGGACGGGGGCUGGGAGCUGCGUAGACUCUCAACUGUCAUCUACCGCGUAGAACACAAGAAAUUUGACAGAUUUCUGUUUAAACAUCUCCAACACACUCGUUCCCUACCUAUCGUCUUUCCUACCGAUGUCUUUCAAAAUACGGGAAAUACCAAGAAAACUGUUCCAUGUAAUUCAAUCUCGAACACACUUCAAACUAUGAGAGGAAAAUCAAAGAAAGAAAAUCAAAAUGGAUUAUCUAAACGUGUUAAAUAAUAUAAAAAGAAGAUUGGCAACACAAGAACAGAAGGAUCUUGACAACCUACAGAGAAAAUCUAUAUUUUUUAAAGAAAAUGAAGAAAAAAAAUCAAAAUUAAAAGUGGUUAAGCAAGAUACCACUCCAGAACACCCUUAGUCUUUCAGCUAGAUAUAUUUUCUUUAUUCUACAUUAGUCUUUCACGCUACCAAUAUAUUAUUUCCAUCCAAACAGAAGCAGACAAUAUUUUCGAUUAAAUAGUUUUAACCUUCAAUCGUUAUCUGAGUAUUCACAGAUUGAACAUGAGAGAAAUGACUGAAACAAAUGAAGCCAAUGCUCUCCGCAGAAAAUUCACGAAGAAAGAAAAGUCAAAAAUCCGCAAAACUCCAAAGAUUUAAAAUGGCACCAAAAGCAUCAAGUUCUAAAAUAUAUAUGGCAGCGCAUCUUGCUACCGUCGACCCAGUCGUCUUUCAUUCGAUUAUUUAAAUGUUCUCCAGUAACCGUGAAUACCUCUGUUAUGUGUGAAAGACCUUACAAAAUUGGUGAGCCAACAAAAUAGGUUUAUUUUUGAUUUCAUGCUAGUUUUUCAUAAAAAUAGUAUUCACGGCAAACACUUUAAAUUUUAAAAUCUAAUUGAUAACAUUGUAAACUUUACAUUUUGAACUUUUUAUCCGCAUUUUAUGAUUAGAAAUUCUAGACUGGGGAACCCAGCUCACUACACCGUCUUUCAUUACAUUGUAGUCAAUAUGUGAAAUCCAGUCGUCUUUUAACAGAUAGAUAGUUAGUAUUCACAAUUCGCGGCGGGACGCGGCAAAUGAAUUUUCUUUUAUCGGUGGAUAUUUUUUCCCGCCAUUUUUUAUUUUGAAAUGGAUUGUUCCACUGCACAAAUGUAAUCUAUUGAAGCUAUCUAUGCUGAAGAAGUUGUGUUUUCUUUCUUUUUAUUUGAGGGCGUGUGCAAAUUAAAUGUAGGCAUGCAUGGACGCAUGAUAACUCUAAAUGUGUUGCUUUGAUUAGUUCAGUAGUUAAACAUCUUUAUCAAAAAUUAGUAAAGCAAAAUGCCAUGUGCAACAUUCAAUGUUGAACUUCAUAGCCAAUUUUUUUAUCAACAAUCUUUUUUCUUUUCUUAAAAUUUGUCUUUCCAGUAAAUAUGUAUGUCUUUCUUCUAAAGUCUUUCGAUGAUGAUUAUGUAUCUUGUAAACCCCAGAGCACUGGCUUCCGUGUACAAUAAUAAUAUAACAAUUAAUUGUAAUUAAUUAUUCUAUUAUUUAAAUAAUUAUCUAAAAGUGUACUCUUGUUAUUGUAUUGGCUGUGACUAGAAAUAUAUUUAAGGUUUUUUUAA